CAACCUCAACUCAUAUGGGACUACCCCCUGAAUUUAAGCAUAUUAAUUAGGGGAGGAAAAGAAACUAACAAGGAUUUUCUUAGUAGCGGCGAGCGAAAAGAAAUCAGUUCAGCAAUAAGUCACUUUGUCUAUAUGGCAAAUGUGAGAUGCAGUGUACGGAACAUCAACAUUCUAGUAUGAGAAGUUAACGAUUUAAGUCCUUCUUAAAUGAGGCCAUUUACCCAUAGAGGGUGCCAGGCCCGUAUAACGUUAAUGAUUACUAGAUGGUGUUUCCAAAGAGUCGUGUUGCUUGAUAGUGCAGCACUAAGUGGGUGGUAAACUCCAUCUAAAACUAAAUAUAACCAUGAGACCGAUAGUAAACAAGUACCGUGAGGGAAAGUUGAAAAGAACUCUGAAUAGAGAGUUAAAUAGUACGUGAAACUGCUUAGAGGUUAAGCCCGAUGAACCUGAAUAUCCGUUAUGGAAAAUUCAUCAUUAGAAUUGUAAUAUUUUAAACAAUAUUAUAAUAAUAGUGUGCAUUUUUUCCAUAUAAGGACAUUGUAAUGUAUUAGCAUAAAUAUUUAUCAUAAAAUUAUGUCUGAUUGCUAAUUUGAAUGAUAUGCUGGGCAUUUUAACAUCAAAUAAAAGAUAUAAAUUUGAUAAAGUGAUGAUAGAUUUAUAUGACUACAGUGCGUUAACUUUUCCGAAUUAUAUAAUGGCAGAAUUAUCAUUGAUA
rnacentral:ncRNA from 1 species